rnacentral:rRNA from 1 species
CGCGUGAGUGAAGAAGGCUUCGGGUUGUAAAGCUCUUUCAGCAGGAACGAAAAGGUGAGCUCUAACAUAGCUUACUAAUGACGGUACCUGAAGAAGAAGCACCGGCUAACUACGUGCCAGCAGCCGCGGUAAUACGUAGGGUGCGAGCGUUAAUCGGAAUUACUGGGCGUAAAGCGUGCGCAGGCGGUUUUGUAAGACAGGUGUGAAAUCCCCGGGCUUAACCUGGGAACUGCGCUUGUGACUGCAAGACUAGAGUGUGGCAGAGGGGGGUGGAAUUCCACGUGUAGCAGUGAAAUGCGUAGAGAUGUGGAGGANCACCGAUGGCGAAGGCAGCCCCCUGGGUUAACACUGACGCUCAUGCACGAAAGCGUGGGUAGCAAACAGGAUUAGAUCCCUGGUAGUCCACGCCCUAAACGAUGCCACUAGGUGUUGGAGAAGGAGACUUC